rnacentral:rRNA from 1 species
AAUUUAAUGGCCGCGGUAUCUUGACCGUGCAAAGGUAGCAUAAUCAUUAGUUUUUUAAUUGAUAACUUGUAUGAAUGGUUUGACGAAAUAUUAACUGUCUCUUUUUUAUUUUUAGAAAUUGAAAUUUGAGUUAAAAUGCUUAAAUUUUAUUAUUGGACGAGAAGACCCUAUAGAUCUUUAUUUUUUAAAAUUUUAUUGUUUUUAGAUUAUUUUUAUUAAUUUUUUAAUAAAUUUUGUUGGGGUGACAUGAAGAUAUAAAUAACUCUUUAUUUUUAUUUACAUUGAUUUAUGAAUAUUUGACCUUUUUUUUUGUUAUAAGACUUAGAUACCUUAGGGAUAACAGCGUAAUUUUAUUUGAGAGUUCAUAUUGACAGUAAAGGUUGCGACCUCGAUGUUGGAUUAAGAUUAAAUUUAGGUGUAGUGGCUUAUAAUUGUUAGGUCUGUUCGACCUUUAAAUUCUUACAUGAUCUGAGUU